ensembl:snRNA U4 U4 spliceosomal RNA
AGCUUUGUUCAGUGGUAGUAUUGUAGCCAAUGAAAUUUAUCUGAGGAGCAAUUACUGCUAUUUUAAUUGUAUGAAAAAG